rnacentral:lncRNA from 1 species
AUGGGCAGGGCGAGGCAGGAGCAGCCGCUCCCUCAAACCCGCAGCUUCCCCCUUCUUCUUCCUCUUUUUUUUUUUUUUUUUUUUUCUUCGUCUCUUGGUUUAAACCCCUCCGGGCUUGAGUUGUGGGUGAGGAGCCUGCGGGAAAGUGUCAGGAAACCAAAACAACCCAAGAAAUCGCCGUGCUCCUUACCGCUCAGCAGUCCCCUUGCCGGCGCGCCCCCUGCUCCUUCCCCGCCCCGCCACGUCGGCAGCAGCGGGGGGAGGAGGAAGCGAUGGCCGGGCGGCCAUGGGCCGGCUCUGCUGUGCUGUGCUGUGCCGGGCCGCUGGGAGGAGGGAGGGCUCUUCCCUCAGUCCUUCUCCCUCACGUCCCUCCAAAGCGGCUGCCUGUUGUGCCCAGGGCUGGAGGCUAUGCCGGCAGCACUGCCCCGCCGCAGGCAGAGUCACCCCAGCCACCAUUACCAACCCCUUACAGCCCCGCUUGUCUCAGGAGGCAGAAAGGGGCUGAAAUAUGCGGCUGUAGGAUUACACUGCUGGGAGUUGGCCUUUCAGGUGACACCCUGCACCUUGGCUGCAUAUCUAGGAAAUGCAGCCGAAAGUAGCUGGGAGGUGCGUACACAAACUUCCAGCAAAGCAUACCCUCUUGCAGUUCCAGGAUUUGUUGCGGCAUCGUUUCUGUCACCAGACUUCCUUUGCUGGAAAAAAAAAAAAAAUUGCUGUUGGUACAGGAAGCAUAACAAAACUUCUUAUGAAUCACUGAGGAGAGCUGCUGUAGGAGGUCAUGAAGUAAAACCUCAGUUCUCAGAAGCGUGCCUCACAAAUGAGGAUAAAGCUCCAUGACUUAGCAAAACAAUCUGAAGUAUCCCAUUAAGGAUAAGAACAAAGACGGAUGGAUAAAUAUUGAGCAUUGGCAAGGAACCAU